rnacentral:tRNA from 1 species
GCACAUCUGGCCGAGUGGUCUAAGGCGCUGUGUUCAGGAGAUUCGUUUCUCUCGCAGUCUCGUAAGAGGCCUGGGUUCGAGUCCCAGGGUGUGUA